rnacentral:lncRNA from 1 species
CUUGGUUUUACAAUGAAAACCCAGGCCUGCUGGGGGAUCCCGGGUGGCUCAGCGGUUUAGCACCUGCCUUUGGCCCAGGGCGUGAUCCUGGAGUCCCAGGAUCGAGUCCCACAUCGGCUCGCUGCAUGGAGCCUGCUUCUCCCUCUGCCUGUGUCUCUACCUCUGUGUGUGUGUGUGUCUCUCAUGAAGAAAUAAAUAAAAUCUUUAAAAAAACACUAUGAAAACCCAGGUCUGGGAGCAUCAGGAGCCUUCCUGGACCACCACCCAAGGACAGGCAACCUCAUCCCAAUUUCCAUCAAAUUCUUCACCUCCUCGGAGACUGCCUGGUUUCUGGUGGCCUUGCCUGAUCCGGAGCAGGUAGGUAGCUGCUAGACCCUGGUAGUAGAAAACACAGGACCAUCUGAGACUUGGCCUGAUUUGUGUGAGCGAAAAGGGACAUCUUAGGGAUUUUGGUGUCCACCUCCCCACUGCCCUAUUCAGAAAGGAUCUACUUUAAAGAUCCCAGCAGGUGAAUGCUAGAGCUGCAAGGGGAACCACCUGGGGUCUCACAUCUAAGCAGUGCAGGGAGAGAGGAUGGAAGGGGGUGGUGGUAUGAGAAAGGGUGAAUAAGGCAGGACUUUGCUUUGGUUUUAAAGAUCAAGGAGAAAGGAGACAAGGGAAGCAGCACUUGGCAAAGGGGAAGGGGCUUAGGAAGAAAAAGGAAGACCGUGUGGGAAGAGGUGUCCCACUAAUAAAUCUCAUCAAUGGAAUCGUGUUCUAGCAGGUUCCAGCAAACCCACUGAAGCACAGCUGAGAAAUCCUGAAGGCCCCACCCUCGGCUUCACAGCAUCUAAUACUAUAGGCCACCAAAGGCACAGAAGAGAAAUAGCUUGUGCAGGACAGAGAUUCUCUGGUGUCAAGUCUUAUCAAAGGCUUCCUAGAUCCAGGUGGAGUGAGAACUUUGAAUUCUUAAACCCAGCCGCUGGCCUCAGUGGGCAAGUGGCUCUCUUUUGCUCCCUCCAGAAGAAGGGAGGGAACGUUCUGGAAUGGAAGAGUGCGUUGGCUUAGAAUUUGCAGGGAGGAAGCUACCUCUCCUUCCCAUCCCUCAGCCCUACAACAGAGUGAGCU